CUACGGGAGGCUGCAGUGGGGAAUAUUGCACAAUGGGGGAAACCCUGAUGCAGCAACGCCGCGUGGAGGAUGACACAUUUCGGUGCGUAAACUCCUUUUAUAUGAGAAGAUAAUGACGGCAUCAUAUGAAUAAGCUCCGGCUAACUCCGUGCCAGCAGCCGCGGUAAUACGGGGGGAGCAAGCGUUACUCGGAAUUACUGGGCGUAAAGCGCAUGUAGGCGGAUAGAAAAGUCAGGAGUGAAAUCCUAUAGCUUAACUAUAGAACUGCUUCUGAAACUCUCUAUCUAGAAUGUGGGAGAGGUAGAUGGAAUUUCUGGUGUAGGGGUAAAAUCCGUAGAGAUCAGAAGGAAUACCGAUUGCGAAGGCGAUCUACUGGAACAAUAUUGACGCUGAGAUGCGAAAGCGUGGGGAGCAAACAGGAUUAGAUACCCUAGUAGUC
rnacentral:rRNA from 1 species